UGACCAUGCUCCCUGCCAUCUGUAUGACUUCUCAUGCCAAGUGGUAGUGCAUACAGCCAACUAUGCUGGCUCUAGUCUGUGGGAGGAUUCCUGCACUACAAGGGGAGCAGAGCACAGCAGUUUCAGGGUGCUUUUCAGAGAGAGUUCAACAGUCUUUAGUAGCAUUCUUUUGUACAAAAAAAGUUGAAUGACUGCUGUGAUCACAUUGCUGAUCACUGAUGAUCUUGACUCAGUUCAGAAUUCAAGUGACAAUCCAGAUGACAAAUAAAAAUGAGUUUGGGAGCCUUAACUCCUAGGCACUAUCUGAUGCCAUGCUAUGACUGGCAAUGAGCUCUGAAUUCAUAUACGUCCCCAAGGAUUUAUAAUCUGCAUGGAUUUAGGACAGGGUUUUGUGCAUUUCAGUUAUUUUCACACUUUGAGUGCAAGUCUAAACAAUAUUUCUUGGGUAGCAACCUAAUUAUAAGAAGAGUUAAUACCCCCAAACCGUAGAUUAUGUUAGGGAGAUCUGGAUUACACAGGAUUCUUUUAAAGUAUCAUUUUUCACUUUUCAUUGAACAGGAUGGUCAUCUAGAUUUUUAUGUCAGUAUCUAGCAUUUUUCAGUUUAUAUAGAUAAUACAGAAAGGCUACAUAAGACUCCCCUUCUACCCAGUGUGAAUUUCAUUGAUCAGCUCAGAAACACUGGAGUACAUUACAUAAUCAGCAUUUUAAUACUUUUUUAAAUGACAGUAAUAAUGAUUUUAAAAAAUGAAUUUUUAAUGCUAUAUCAGUAUCAAAUGACUUACCAUGAUCUUUUUAUUGGUUGCAUUUAUUUUUUCUGUUUCAUUGUCUUGUUUGAGGAUAAUAGAUUACAUGUGGAGUAUAUUCUAAGUGACUGCCUGAUUACAUUUUAAUGCAUUUCUGGAAAUGUAGAAAUAUUUCAACUGAAUGUUGAAAAUGUUUGAUGGAAAAUGAAAUACAUUAUUAUCAAUUAUAUCUAGUGAAAAUCCCAAAUAUAGUUGCUGCAGCUUUUUAAUCCUAAAACGAAACUGUAACUAAACAAGCCAUCACCAAUACAGUAUCAUAGUGAUACGCAUCACUUGUAUAACAUCAAACUAGAAAUCAUGGGAACAGUUUAUUUCACUUGUUAAUUAGUACUGAGAUAUCGAGGACAUGAAGCUGAAGGAGUCUUUCCAAAUUUUAUAUAGUAGAA